GUUGAGAUUGAGCCCAUUCUUCUGCCUUAAAAUAAUAAAAAAUACGUCUGCUUAAAAAUUAGAAAUCAUGAAACUCACUUGUUGUACCAAAUCGUUCAUUUCGCUGUUCAAGUUACUUUUCAAAUUCGGGCUCAGCUCCAUUUUU
ensembl:ncRNA K11H3.12 ncRNA